UUCACUUGUGAUGAUCAAAAUAAUACUUUCCUUACUAUGAGAUUUUAGAUGUGAAAAAACAUUGGAGACCUAAACUAAGGAGAU